rnacentral:rRNA from 1 species
GAUUAUGGCUCAGGAUGAACGCUAGCGACAGGCUUAACACAUGCAAGUCGAGGGGCAGCGAGGGAGUGGCAACACUUCUGUCGGCGACCGGCGCACGGGUGAGUAACGCGUAUGCAACCUGCCCUUCACAGGGGGGAUAACCGGGAGAAAUUCCGACUAAUACCGCAUACGUCCUUUGGGGGCAUCCCCGGGGGAUGAGAGAAUUAUCGGUGAAGGAUGGGCAUGCGUGAUAUUAGGUAGUUGGCGGGG